AGAGUUUGAUCAUGGCUCAGGACGAACGCUGGCGGCGUGCCUAAUACAUGCAAGUCGAGCGGACAGAAGGGAGCUUGCUCCCGGAAGUCAGCGGCGGACGGGUGAGUAACACGUGGGUAACCUGCCUGUAAGACUGGGAUAACUCCGGGAAACCGGGGCUAAUACCGGAUAGCUUCUUCCUCCGCAUGGAGGAAGAAUGUAAGGCGGCCUUUGGCUGUCACUUACAGAUGGACCCGCGGCGCAUUAGCUAGUUGGUGGGGUAACGGCUCACCAAGGCAACGAUGCGUAGCCGACCUGAGAGGGUGAUCGGCCACACUGGGACUGAGACACGGCCCAGACUCCUACGGGAGGCAGCAGUAGGGAAUCUUCCGCAAUGGACGAAAGUCUGACGGAGCAACGCCGCGUGAGUGAAGAAGGUUUUCGGAUCGUAAAGCUCUGUUGUCAGGGAAGAACAAGUACCGGAGUCACUGCCGGUACCUUGACGGUACCUGACCAGAAAGCCACGGCUAACUACGUGCCAGCAGCCGCGGUAAUACGUAGGUGGCAAGCGUUGUCCGGAAUUAUUGGGCGUAAAGCGCGCGCAGGCGGCCUUUUAAGUCUGAUGUGAAAGCCCACGGCUCAACCGUGGAGGGUCAUUGGAAACUGGAAGGCUUGAGUGCAGAAGAGGAGAGCGGAAUUCCACGUGUAGCGGUGAAAUGCGUAGAGAUGUGGAGGAAUCACCAGUGGCGAAGGCGGCUCUCUGGUCUGUAACUGACGCUGAGGCGCGAAAGCGUGGGGAGCGAACAGGAUUAGAUACCCCUGGUAGUCCACGCCGUAAACGAU
rnacentral:rRNA from 1 species